rnacentral:lncRNA from 1 species
ACUUAUGCAUGUGGAUAUUUGCAGCUCUGAAUGAGCAGCAAAUCUGUUGGAUUAGCAUCACACAGCACAAAUGCUGGCUUGCAACAUGCUAUGUAGGCCUGGUGGACUGGGAAGCAGGGGCAUGUCACAUCGCUCAUGGGGUCUUGCUGCUUCUCAUCUCCAGUGUAAUCUCGGUCCUUCAGAAAGUGUGCCGUGUACCAGUUGCCAUGAGUCUUCAGAGCCUGUCUUCCAUCUCCUGCUAUGGAGUAAAGUAUCAAUAUGAUGGUGCUGAGACCUCCACCAGCCACCUCUGGCACUCUGCUGAUUCCGACACCAUGGAUAGAUCUUCUAUUCCUUACUUUAAUCUCUUACGAUGA